AUACAGAGGGUGCGAGCGUUAAUCGGAAUUACUGGGCGUAAAGCGCGCGUAGGCGGCUUAUUAAGUCAGAUGUGAAAUCCCCGGGCUCAACCUGGGAACUGCAUCUGAUACUGGUAAGCUAGAGUUUGGGAGAGGGAAGUAGAAUUUCAGGUGUAGCGGUGAAAUGCAUAGAGAUCUGAAGGAAUACCAGUGGCGAAGGCGACUUCCUGGCCUAAAACUGACACUGAGGUGCGAAAGCGUGGGUAGCAAACGGGAUUAGAAACCCGUGUAGUCC
rnacentral:rRNA from 1 species